CAGCGGUCCGGCCGGGAACUCAAAGGAGACUUCCAGUGAUAAACUUGAGGAAGGUGGGGAUGACGUCAAGUCAUCAUGGCCCUUACGACCAGGGCUACACACGUGUACAAUGGCAUAUACAAAGAGAAGCGACCUCGCGAGAGCAAGCGGACCUCAUAAAGUAUGUCGUAGUCCGGAUUGGAGUCUGCAACUCGACUCCAUGAAGUCGGAAUCGCUAGUAAUCGUAGAUCAGAAUGCUACGGUGAAUACGUUCCCGGGCCUUGUACACACCGCCCGUCACACCAUGGGAGUGGGUUGCAAAAGAAGUAGGUAGCUUAACCUUCGGGAGAGCGCUUACCACUUUGUGAUUCAUGAACCUGGGGGG
rnacentral:rRNA from 1 species